GAAGAUAGAGGCGCAUUUUGUCAUCAGUAUUCCGGCGUUAAAAGCGGUGCUCGCUGUUGCCGGCAGAAAGGGACGGAUGCCGAGGGGGAAUUUUUGCACAGAUUCUUUCCGGGCAAGCAAAAUAAGAUUUGUUUGACUGUCGCGCAAGCGGAGGACUAU
rnacentral:ncRNA from 1 species